UACGUAGGGUGCGAGCGUUAAUCGGAAUUACUGGGCGUAAAGCGUGCGCAGGCGGUUUGUUAAGUCUGCUGUGAAAUCCCCGAGCUCAACUUGGGAAUUGCAGUGGAUACUGGCAGGCUGGAGUAUGGUAGAGGAAGGUGGAAUUCCCGGUGUAGCAGUGAAAUGCGUAGAGAUCGGGAGGAACACCAGUGGCGAAGGCGGCCUUCUGGACCAAUACUGACGCUCAUGCACGAAAGCGUGGGGAGCAAACAGG
rnacentral:rRNA from 1 species